UCCAGCCCUCAAGAGUUUCCCAGCUGAGCCUCUGGGCAUCCUGAGUUGGGACCGAGGUGGCCGGUGCAGCUGGAGGCGGGGGUGGGGCUAGCCUACAUAGCCGCUUAAGCCCGGACUGCUGGGGCAAAGCGAUUAGUGGUGUGUUGUGUGUGUGUGCGUGCAUGCGUGUGUGUGCGUGUGUGCGUGUGCGUGUGUGUGUGUGUGUGUGUGUGUGUGUAGGUGGGUGAGACUGAGCUCACAGCUCUUAGUGGCUGCAGGUUUCUCAACUGCCCUGAGAAGAGCCAAAAAUUUGCCCGUGGCGUUUCCAUCCCUUUCCUUGUGAGAUUCACUCCCCGUUGCUGACCUGGAUCGCGCAUUUACUCCAGGAUGCUGGGCUCCUAAAUUGCUUCUCUUCCUAAGGGUGCCUCGGCUCUAAUGGUGGAAUUUCUGUCCGCGUGGGGGUGGGGUGGGGAUAGUUUGGGAUGUAGGGAGCUUCCUGGCGCUGCCUUGGUGACAUGGACAAAUUGAGAUUUCUGACCUUGUGUUUGACAAAUGAGUCACCUGUAAUCACACUUAUUCUCCCUUGCAUAAACCGAAGCAAGAGGAAAAGCUUCCAGCUGCACCACCUGUGCCCGGAGGCUCUUCAGAGGGUUAAUUCUAAUAAGAGCAGUGAGUGUGAAGUCAGGGGAUGAAAUGUUCCAGAACUGGUGAGUAAAUUCAGUUUCCUACAACACACAGACCUAAAGAAAGAAAGUUCUCAGUGUGAAUAUGACGGCUGUGGCUGACGGUCAACAGCCCCUCCUAGUGUGUACCAGGCAGCCUGUAAGCCCUUCCCAGGUAGGCCUCCAGAAUCCUCAGCUACUGGUGCCCAUUUUUCAGAUGAAGAAACUAAGGCACAGGGAGAGCCAAGUGCGUGGAGCAGAAAUUUGAACCCUGGCUGUCUGGUGCCUUUGCUGUGUCCCCAGCCGCUGUGUCAUGCAUUGUAGGACAUUCAUGGAGGGUGGUCACAGCAUGGCUGAACUGUGCCCCCCCCCUUUUUUUUUUUUUUUUUAAGACUUUAUUUAUUUACUUGGCAGAGAGAGAGAGAGAGAGAGAGAGAGAGCACAAGCAGGGGGAGCUGUAGAGGGAGAGGAGAAGCAAGCUCUUCUCUAAGCAGGGAGCCUGAUUGUUGCCAGGCUCGAUCCCAGGACCUGGGAUCAUGACCCAAGAGGAAGGCAGAUACCCAACCGACUGAGCCCCCCAGGCGCCCCAAAAGUACCCCCCUUGCAGGAGAACUGCAAACCUUAGUUUCACCAGGGAGCUUCUUGCCAACUCUUCCAUUUCAUGUGGCCAAGACGGAGGAGGAGAAGCUCAGAGGAGAGUUUUACCCCACCUGGCUAGUGUUCUGUUGUUUGCUCUUUGCAAUUUGUAAAUAUUCUGGGGUCCCCUUUGUCUCUACAACAGGCAUGCUGUCCAGAUCGGUGCCCUGCAGGCUUCGCGGCCCUUGUGUGAAGAGCUCUAGCUGCAGUGAUCUGCUCGGAGCGCCCCGGACGCCGUGCUGCGGGGUCUGCUGCGGGUCAUGGCCAAGGCUGAUCCACAGUGUCUGGGAGCUGGGAUUUGAACACUGGUCUUUGGGGCAUCAUGGCUGCCCGAGACAGAGUCCUUCUCGAACAUGGUGCCGGCCUCAGCCAGCUCUCAGCCACUUCCCCUCCAGCUGCCCUUCUUCCAAAACAGUUUGGGGAAGACACGGCUGACUGACCCCACACCCAAUGCCGUGGCCUGGAGGUGCACCCACAGACUGUACCCCACAGUGCCUCACAUCAGUCUGGGCACAACAGGACCUCAGCACCUCAGUGUCCUGCUCCAGAACCGUGGAACUGAAGACCCACAGAGCAGCCUUGCACCCUGCCGUGACACCUUGGGCUACAUCACGGCACAGGUGAACCACCAAUCCUAGACCCUCGUGUUCCAGGCACAUAGUAGGUCCUCCAUCAUGUCUUGCCAAGUGGAUGAAGGAGCCAGGCCUCCCCAUCUGGCCCAAUGACAAGCUAGCUCGUUCAGCAGCUCAUGGCUCCCAUCCAAGCAUCUGCUUCUCUUGAUUUCACUGGAGCAGACAACCCAUCGCUCAGCCACAGGUUGGUGGGGACAGGUGCCUGAUGGUGGGGAGAUGGUCCUGGGCUUUGAGGAUUGGACACAGCCCCCGAGUUGAUGAAGAAGCGAUUUCGCACGGAGGCCUCUUUCUGGUGUUGUCAGAAGGGAAGAUGCCACGCUUGGCACUCUCCUGAGCUGGAAUGCUGUCAGAACCAACCGCCCAGACCCCGCUUUGGUUGCAUUUCACGCCGGAAGACAUUCCUUCUUGUUCGGCAGCAGCUCUUGGAUGUGGCUUUUAAUAUGCUCGCUGCCGGGUCAUCGAUUUCUCCCGACAAGCGGUGGAAAGAGUCGUCAGGGGCUGGGACAGUCGGGCUGUUGGGGAAUCAAGAAAUUUGCCCCACAGUCAGUCUUGCAAAAACCCUGAUAUCUUUUUAUCAGAUGUGAACAUUUGAUGGAGCCCGAUUAUUCUAGAUGCUGACUGUACAGACAAGUCAUGUUUCUUAGAAUCAAAGGAAUGGUUUUCGUUGGCGUUAUUGGGUCACAGAGAAAGACUGUGAAUCUUGGCCCUCAUUACAAGCAAAAAACAAACAACUUGCUGUACACCUUCAUUCAAGAGCGAGCGUGGCUCAGGUUGGAAAAGCAGACUUUUGUUCAGCCCAUCUCUUUUGACAGCUGGCUAAAAAAACGUCCACUCAGUGGCCUUGGCUUGAUUGCACUUGUAAUAUUCUCAAUUUCUCUCGGCACUGAAUGAAAAUCUGGAAGCACAUUGUUGCCUGCCAGCUGCUCACUGUGAAUCAGCUCUGAGCACUGGCAUUCCCAAGCAAGUGCCUCCAUCCACGUAGCUCUGCCCUUCCUAGCAGCCUACAUGGCAACGGAGAGUCGGUCCUCACCUCAGUGCCCCUUCCAGUCCACGUCGUGGCUCGCAAAUAAUGAACUUAACCAAGGAACGAGGAGGACAGAGGACUCCUCUGCAGCACCAGUGUUAAGGGAUGGACAGGACCAGAAACAUCAUGGAGGAUGUCUCCCUCAUAUACGUACAGAUCAGGCUGUGGCUGUUUGGAAAAAAUCCAACCACAGAUGUUUUAAUAAAUAAAGAUGCAUUCCUGAGAAUAUAGAUCUGUUAUUUAAAAAAAAGCCUGAAUAACAGAGAUUUAAAUAAGAUAGAUGUUUAUAUCUCUCAGAUAUGACAGUCUGGGCAUGGUGUGACCAGUACUGAUUGGUUGCAGUUUUUCAUUGAAUUACCUGCCUUCCUCUAUCUGCAGUUGGCUCCGCUGGCUGGUUUCAGAAGGCUGCUCCAGCUCCUGCCAUUGCAGCCACUGUCCAGCCUGUGGGAAGGGCAGAAAAACAAAGGAGAGGUAUGUACUUUUCCUUUCGAGGGCUCGAAUAGGAAAUAGCACACCUCAUCUCUGUUCACAUUUCACUGGCUAGAAUCCAGUCAUAUGGCCACACCCAUCUGCAGAGUAAGCUGGGAAAUGUAGUCUUUAUCUGGGCAGUUAUGUAUUCAGCAAAAUUUCCAUAUAUCUAUAUCUAUAUGGAAUAUAUAUACAUAUAAAUAUAUACGUAUAUUUAUUUAUUUUAGAGAGAGGGUGUGUGGGAGUUACAUGUGAGAAGUAGUGGGGAGGGAUAGGGAGGCACAGAGGCAGAGGGAGAGAAUCUCAAGCAGCCUCCAUGCCUGUCGCAGAGCCCAACAUGGGGCUUGAUCUCAUGAUCCUGAGAUCAUGACCUGAACCAAAAUCAAGAGUCGGACACUCCACUGACUGAGACACUCAGGUGCUCCCACAUUUCUAUUUCUGCAGAAGAAAAAGAGAGUAGAUAUUAGGGGACAACCAGAGGUUUCUUUAUUCACCUAAUGAAUAGGGAUGAUAAAGCAGAGAACAAGACAAUGAACAUCCUGUUUCUCAUGGACUUGACCCUCGAAUGGGAGGACAGCGAGAGGAGAAGUCUUUUGAGGAGGAGGGAGUGGUCCGCUGCGUCCACUGUGGCUGUUUUCCUCCCCCAACAAGAAGCCCGGAGGUGGGACAAGGUGACUAUCACAGCUGGCUCCAGCGUUAUGUCCGUGUUCCAGGCGAGGAGACGGUGGAAGAAAGGCCCACCAUGCAUCGGACUUCUUUAAAAGGAAAAAAAAAACUUCCUUGGAAGCCCACCAGCGGCUUUCUGCUUCGAUCUCAUUGGUCAGAAGAGGCUUGCCUGGCCACCCCUAGCUGCAAGGGAGGCUGGGAAAUCAGGAUCAGAAUUCUCAGGAUGGGCUGAGCACUGGACGUAUUGCCCCUGGUUCAGCUAAGAGAAAGAACGAGACGUCUCUACGAGGCAAGCGCCUAUGAAUAAUGCCUCUGUGCUUUUGGUCCCUUCUCUGCCUUUAGGGAUGGACGUCAUCAAUUUUGUGCUGGAAAGCUUUAUUUCGUGCUUGUUCUAGAAACACGCCAAUGGUUCCCCAGAGCGAUGGCUUGAUUGUUUUAUGGGGGGAAAGAUGGGCAAACUUCAGAGGCUCCUCGCCACCACCGGCCAUGCCGACAUGAGAGACCCCAUGCUGGCCAUAGGCAUGAUGUGGUUUCAGUUCCAGUUAUUUCGGUUGUACAUUCUAUUUUUACUUUUUCCUCUUCCCCUUGUGCAAAAUCCUACCUUUCCAACCCAGCACAUUUCAUAGGCACAUCAAAAUCUGAGCCAUGGUGGAUGGUUAUGCCUUAUUGGGGAAUAUAGAAUUUUCAUUAAUAGUUUCAUCCCUACUUGAUUGGUCCGACAAACCAUUUUUGUCUUACCAAUCCAUUUUUGUUAUCCGGGGUGGUACGCCAAUAGCAAAUGCGUUCAAGGGCUUCUUACGCCCCGAGCGCUAUUUUGAGGGCUUUGUAUAUAUUGUGAUGGUUUGAAAACAUGCUCCCAGUUUGGGGGGACACUUUUAUUACGAAGUGGCAUCUAUGUCCUUCCCCUUUAAUCUGGGCUGGUGUUAGCGACUCACUUGUCAGCAGUGGAAAGCAGGGGAAGGGAUGACUUGUGAUUGCCAAGGCCAGGUAGGAAAAGGCUGUGUAGCUUCUGCCUGGUUCUCCCGGGACACUUGUUCUGGAGGAAGCCCAGUUCCCUGACGCUGCCAUGAUAUAGGUAAGCAGUUUGGUCACCAGCUUUAGCACUGCCAACCUAGGACAGACACCGGGCGCCAGCUGUGUGAGUGAGCCAUCCUGGACAUGCUGCAUAGUCCCCCUGGGCCAUCAGAUGACAGCCGUCCCAGAAUGCAUCUGACGGCACCCCCACGAGAACCCCAAGCACAAGGUGCUCAGCUGAGCCCUUCCCGGAUUCCUGACCCAUAAAACUAUGAGCAGAAUCAAAUGGUUGUUGGGUUUUUUCCCCACCACUCGAAUUUUUAAGCCAGAAAAGGAACCGAAGACAUAGAACUAAUUUAGUCUCAAAUUUUCAGGUAAAGACACGGAACCCCAGAGAGAGAAAGCAAGUUGCACACGUUUUCACGGCAGAGGGAAGAGACGUGUGCUGGCAGGCUGAUUCAAAUAUUCUGCCUCUUGACCAUAAGGGAAUGGGGAAGCAAAGUUAACAAACGAGUAGUAACAUACAAAAUGCAAAAAUGUGGGCUGGCCAGGCUAACAGCACUCUGUUGAGGGAAAGUGGGUCUCUUUGGACCCGCCAUCCCGGAUGGAUGGACUUUGGAAAACACAUAGCCCUUUUAAGAACCCAGUGAUUUCUACAAGAUCGUCAUUAAUUUCCCAUUUCAAAUUUGCACAAUGUAAGUGGAUGAAAUUCUUCCACUUGUUCUUUUGUCCUCUAAAAACUCCACGCCGCCUAGGGACGUCAGGGUUUUGAGACUGCAUGAGGGAAACCCUGACCCCUUGCCUUGUAGCAUCUCAGGUGUGGGAGCUGAGAAGCUUCCCGACAAAAAAACAUUAAAGUCAUAAAAUUAAAGGAUGCAAUUUAACUGUUGGAAGCACCUUGGAGUUCAUCUCCUUCAGCCUUCCACUCGGGGCAAGACCAGGACAAGCCACGUGCAAAGCAACCGCUCAAUGGGAUGGUCCCACUGAUGCCAGUGGGCAGUUGGUGAUGAAUGGCUGGGGACCCAUAGAGAAAAUAUGGCCAUCAUAUCACAGGGUCCGGCUCAUCACUGAGGGCUGAGAAUUGGGUCAGUUUCAUGGGCAUGUGACCCAUGCGGUCACUCUUGCCUUGAAGGAUCCCAUACUUUAAUGUCCUGUCUCACUGCUUGAAAUCAUUUUUGAAAGAGGGGUUCCACAUUUUCACUUGUCACUGGAGCCUGCAAAGUGUGAAACUGGUCCAGGAUGGAGAGGUCUGACAGCUGGCGCAGGAAUGAGCAUUUCAGGGGAGAAGGGCAGGGAAAGCCUGGGAGCCAGAGGCAAGGGGUCACUUGCCCAAGACCACUUUUCAGGCAGUGACAACACAAGAAACUGAACCCAGUCUUGUUGGAUUUCAUGGCACUUGGUCUUAAACACUUUGCUCUCCUAUUGCCUGGGACAGACCUCUCUCGCGAGCUGCCUUCUCAACUAUUCCUACAAUCUCAGCCUUCUCUUCCAGGGAGCCCUCCUGGAUUGCUCUUGCCUAGUCAGACUUGCCAUUCCCUCCUUCCGUCAUACUUCCUACCUGGCUAAGCCACGGUCCUUGUGCCAGUCUGUGUCCUUUCCAUGCCCCUCCUGGCUAGAGUCUGCUGUGACUUCCAGGCCCCCAGGCCAAUCUGGAUAGGGCCUCGAACCCGCAAGAAUUUGGGGGCUCAAUCUUUUUGCUGUAAACCUUACAUGUAGAUUCCACGGUGCAGUCUUUCUCACCUUCCCAUCCCCAGAGCUGGGCUCCUGCCUCAGUUUCCCUGUCUAAAACUCCAAGGAACUGUGGGAUAAUGGGAGUCAGACAGGCCUGGUUCAUAUUCUGUCUUGCUACUCACUCUAAAGAAAGCAGCUCAGCCUCUGCAAACCUCAGUUUCCCCAUCUGUCAAGUGGGAGUAUAUCCUACCUUACCCAAGUGCUCAAGGUUGGCAACAUCAGUGACGUGGACAUCACGUACCCACUGAUAUACAGGGAUGACAAGGGCAUCGCAGCUCUGCAGCAUCUCCCCGUCGCACGACCCAUGAUGUGAGAAAACAUCAGACAAGCCCCAAGGGACAGGGUAUAGAAUCCCCGACCGGUACCCUUCAAAACUGCCAAGGUCAUGAAAAGCAAGAGAAAAAAUGAGAACCUGUCACAGAGCAGAGAAGACUAAGGGGGUGGCAUGACUGAACGCAAUGUGGUCUCGGGGCAGGAUGCUGGAGCAGAAAGAGGACAUUAGUGGACACACGCGCGAACCUAAGUGAAGUCCGGAGUUUAGUUCUGAACGUACCAGCGCUAGUUUCCUAGUCUUGACAAACAGACUGUGGUUACGUUAGCAUCACGAGAAGCUGGGUGAAGCACACACAGCCCAAUUCUCCUGGGUUACCUUGGCCUUUUUUCUCGAAACCUAAAUUUAUUCCAAAAUAAAGGUGUUGGUUAAAAACAAACACAACCGGCCCUGCUGUUACUGCUUUUGUCUGCCCAGGGCCGUCCUCCAUUCUUCUG